GUCAGCUGCCCAGGAGCCAGAGGAGGGAGGGCCUCCUCACCCCGCCAGGCCGGCUUGGCGGCGGCGUGUGAGCCCUGUUGGGGCAUGUCACACUCGGGGUGGCAGGCCUGGCCCAGCUCUCUGGGAGUCUGAGCCUGGGCAGCGCCAGCACUCAGGCCCUGUGGGCAGCAGUGUGCACCCAGGAGAGAAUGGGCCAGCACCAGCCCAGGGGAGCCAGUGGCCCAGGCCAGCCCUGCCUGGCCGCACUGCUGCCCCUUGCACCUGCUCAGGGUUCGCUGGCCUCAUCCGCACUCACUGCACCUGCCCUGCGCUGCCGCGACGUUCUUUCCCCACUGGAUCCCAAGCCAGGUACUGGGAUCUGCGAUGGGGUCGCGGGCGCUCACCGUCACACAGGAUGCCGGCCAGCCCCCAGAUGAAAUCGGAGCAGAGGUGGCAGAAGGUGGGCUUGGUGAGCGUCACCUUCCUGAAGCUGUGACCCGGCGCGGCGGGGCCCAGGGGCCUAGCGCCCGCCCGCUCCGGCCCCGACCCCGGCCCGGACCCCGGCCCCGACCCCGGCCCGGACCCCGGCCCCGACCGCGAGCGGCUUCCGGCGCCCAGCUCCGGGCUGGAGGUCGGGCUGCCCUGGCGCGGGGAGCCGCCGCCAAGCCAGGCGCGGGCCCCGGGCUCGGCCGCCGCCGCCAUCCCCGGCCAGGGCGGCCCGAGCCCCAGUGGAGGACGACUGCGGGGUCAGCACUGCGGGAAAGAGGGGCAGCCGUCCCCAGCUGUGCCCCGCGGUCCUCGCCGUGCUUCCGACUGCGCCUGCCGUCACUGCGCAGGCGCGCACCCGCGGGGCGGGGUCUGGGGCGGGGUCCCGGCCCUUGGGCGGGGGCGGGGUGGGGCCUGCGGGAUGGGGGCGGGGCACGAGCGGGGCGGGCCUGCGGAGCAGUGGGUGGGCCGAGGUCCGAGCUCCGCGGCCUUUCGGGCAGGUGGGUGGAUCAGGUGGCCCGACGAGGUCCGGUGGCCGGACGAGACAGGCACACGACCUGCAGACACCGACGCGAGAGGUGUUUGCACCUGCGGCGCCCGGGCACGCGCCUGCGCAGACGGACGCCUCCCACGCGGCACCGGGAUCCCGCUCGCGGCUGCUCAGGGCGACCCGGCAAACGUGCGGCACUGCCCCAGGUCCCCAGAGUGGGGUCUGGAGGCCAGGCCCUGCCCUAGGGGGCCCCCGUCUGGAGUCAGAGGGCCGGGGAAGGGUUUGCGGUCUCGGGGUGGGGGGUCCCAGGGUGAGGUCCGGGGAGGAGCUAGGCCCUCUGGGCCCCAGUCUGGGCGUCCAUGGUGGAGGAGGAAGGCGAUGGAGAUGGCUCUGGAGCUGGGACGGCCUGUCUGCCCUGUGUGCUCCCACCAGCCGUGCAUGGGCGGCUCAGUCUGCGGGGUCUUCGGACGCGUGGACCCUGCCCCGCCGCGAGCAACCCCCGGCGCCCGGCCCCUGUCCUCAUCACAGACGGGGUGGUUCCUUUCAGGAGGUGCUCCCUCCCAUCAUCUCUCACUUGGGAAGCCCGAGGGGCUGGCAUCCUUCCCUCUGGACCCCGACCUCGUGGGCGACCUAAAGCGACCCCACCCCGGGCCUCCCGGACCCUUCCCCGCUGUGAAAGGCCCGCCCCCACCGCACUCCCAGGGAAGGCAGUGAAUCCAGCCCUUGCCCUGCCCCCCAGCGUUGUCUCGAGGACGUGUGGGGGUCGCGUCCACGCGGGGCAUCCUGCCCCAUCGCCUGACAGCGCUCCGGGGUCCCCGCCCCUGUGGGCCUGACCGCGGAUUGUAAUGCGCGUCGCCGAGCCGGGCGUCGUGGGCCACGGCGCUUCCGGGGGACCUGCCUGAUCCCUGCUGCGUCGUUGUGGGCUGCCCUCCCUCGGGACAGGCCCCGGCACGGCAGGGUGAGCAGGGGCUGCAGGGCCCCAGAGGAGGAGGAGAACGGGGCAGGGGACACAACCAGGGGAGGAUAAUGUCCGGGGGAGGGCGUAGUAGGGAGGAAAUGCCUGGAAGUGUGUUAGGCCUGCUGGGAGGGGCUGCGGAGGCGGGAGAGAGGGAGGGCGGGGCCAGGGACGGGCCCAAAGACCGGAGCCAACCCCUGAGAGUGGGGGGGGACUGGGCUCCCAAUCCUGUUGGAGCACCGGCUGUGCACCAGGGCGCUGGGCUGGCACCCCUGCCCACCCUGGGGCUGAGUUCUGGGGCAGACAGACAAGAGCAAACUGAAAAAUAAGGCGGGAAACGCCACUUGGUAUCUCAGUGCCUGGCCGUGGACGGACGGAAGGAGCCAGGACUGAGCUACCAGGAGGACAAACAUACAAACAGGGGAAAUGGGUUGCAAAGCCCCGGGGCCGUCAUGUUGAAAAGGCAAGGACAUCCCUUCGCCUGGGGCUCCCCAGACGGGCCCCUGAGCCCUGGAGCAUUUAGCUCACUGCCAGCCCCCUCCCUCCUCCCCACGCCCUGAGGCCACAGGGCCCUGACUGCCCACACUCCUCUCCUCAGCAACCCCCAAGCAGCCCCAGGCCAACCUGCUUCUUGGCCCCAGGAGGGUUGUGACCCAGCCAUGGUGCCUGUUAAGAAGCAGGGGUUUCUAUUGAAGCCCACUCCCCAUAAUUGAAACCAGCUGACUUCUAAGGACGCAGGAUUUCAGGACAUAUCUUUCUCCAUUUGCGAGAAAGCGGAGUACAGGAAAGACAUCUUGAGAAGAAAAGUCCACGUCUGACCAUUUCCGCAGACUUUAACUGCUUUCUGACCCAGCAUAGUAACUAAAAUGGCAAACAUACUUCCACCAAACUGUCCCCUGACCUGCUUGGAAUACCUUCCAAAGUAAUUAGCAACUUCUAGAUGAAGCUUAAAUCUAAACCUCUGCUUGGGACACAUAAUAAAAUUCUAGACAGGCAACUUAAACAACAGACAUUUAUUUAUCUUGGUUCUGGAGGCUGGAAGUUGGAGAUCAGGGUGCUAGUGUGGUUGGUUCUGGUGAGGGCCCGCUUCCUGGCCUGCAGACACCAUCUUUUGGCUGUGCUGGCACAUGGGGGUGGGGACACUAAUCCCAUCAUGGGGCCCCACCCUCAUGACCUCAUCCAACCCUAAUUAUCCUCAAAGGCCCACCUCCAAAUGCCAUUCCAUGGGGGCUAGAGUUUCAGCAUAUUAAUCAGUGGGAGAAUCAAUGUUGUUUAAGUCACCCAGCUUGUGGUGUUUUGUGUGGGAACCGAGGCAAACUAAUGUACGCACAGACCUGCCAGCCUGCCUGGAAGGCCCAGAAACAGCCAGUCCUGCAUUGUUUGGUGACUGGCCUGUGUCACCCAACGUUUUGUCUUGAGUUCCACUGAGGGUCUUUUUGUUGCUGCUCACGUCGCGGGCAUGUGAGAGUCUGGCCCGCCGUUGGGGUCCUGCCUCUCAGUCCUUCUGCACCAGCGGGCUUGGGUGUUGGUGCCAGACUUUGGCUGUUACGGAAAAUGCUUCUGGGAACAUCCUCGUCCAUGUGUUUGGUUACCACACAUACAUGUCCUUGUGUCUGCUGAAGUAGGACGUGCUAUGUUCACUUGUAGAAAAUAAUGUCAAACAGCUUUCCAAGACUCCACACAAAAAUCAAAGUUCAUACUUCCACCAGCCACGUGGGAGACCUUGGCCAGCGCUGGACACUAACAGUGUCACAAUUUCAGCCUUUCUGGUCAGGGUGCAGAGGUGUGUGCGGCUUUGGCCCUUGUCCGGUGGCGCUGGUGAGAGAGGCUGCAGCUCGUCCUGGAUCUGUCUGUCGUCUGCACCUCCUCCUGCGAGGCUUGCUUAGAUGCCUUGGUCACCUUUCCAUUGAGCGUCUUUUUCUUAUUGAUUUGUAGGAGUUCUUUACAUAUUCUGGAGGUGAUUCUUUUAUCGGUUACAGUCAAUUGUCAGUAUUCUCAAAGUCAUGCUCUAUGUGGUCUCUGCAAACUCUCACCCCCGGCUCCUGGGGAAACACCGGGCUGCUUCCUGCCAGCCUCUCGGCACGGCGUUUUCCCCGAUGGGUCAACACAAAAGACCACUUAGUGAACAGACACCGUCGUUGGCUCGUUAAGCACUGACCCGGCCGGCAGCGCUGUCCCUCGGCCCGGACGGAGCUUCCCCGGCACACGGGUUCCUCCGCGGGGCACGUCCCGGCCUCCCGCGCUCAGGACUCUGCAUGUGAAGAGCCCUCGGCGCUCAGGACUCUGGAUGUGAAGAGCCCUCGGCCGGGGGCCGCGGAAGCCGCAGAAUCACCACCGAAAUCACAGGAGCGGAAACGCGGCCCCGGAGGGGCAGGAAGAGGGCUCGCUCACGGGUGAGCAGAAGCGAGAAGGCAGGGCCCGUCCAUCCGCGCACGUCCAUCCGCGGACAGCCUCGAAGGCGCCGCGAGCGUUGCCGACGGUGGGACGAGCGGGUCUUCGCCAGCAGGCGGACUCGCAAAGACAGGCUCCGCGAAUAUUGAGAGGGACCGUGUCUGCAUCCCCCCCACACCUGGCUGGUCCUGCCACCCGCUCAGUGGUGGCUCUCAGUGAAGGCCUUCUUUGUUUCCUCUCGGCCAGCUGGGCAGCCUUUUCCCUUCUGGGGAGGGCCUUUGAGUCCUGCGCCACGAGCACCUGCCCGCCCUGAGAUGGCGAAGAUGCCCGAGUCUCAGGAAGAGGGCGGCGUGUUGUGCAGCCUCGGGCGCGUCUCUACUUGGCCGAUGUACCACCAGGUGAAUGUGGGGCUGGGCCUGCCCAGGUGUGGGGCAGCCUGAAGUCAAUGGGACUCUCUUUAAGAAAAAAUGCAGAAUUAUUUUGAUAAAAUUAGAAACACACUUAGUCAGAAUGAGAGAAAAAAAUCACAACAAAUUAAACAUGAAAAGUAUCGAUAAAUGGCACAAACAUCACAGAAUCUAGAAAAAGCCCACACCUUUUAUUCCUAACUGCCUGCUGCUCCACUGUGAUUCUUUCUUCAUCCACGUUCUUAAAAAAUUGUCCCUGCUGCGUGGCUUGUGGGAUCUUAGCUCCACAACCAAGACUUGCACCCGGGCCCUCGACAGUGAAAGCCCAGAGUCCUAAGCACUGGGCCGCCAGGGAACUCCCUCGUGUACAUUUUUAACUGGCUCUUUUCAUAACAAUUUUGCAAUAUCAUUGUCCAGGGAGAAAAGAAAAAGAUAAUUUAGUCCCUCCAGCGUAACUGGUUGAAAACAAUUGUCACUGCUAAUUUACAGGGCUUUCCGCAUGGCAACUCGUUACCGGUUGUAUCGUAUACAUUGUUAGGACCACUGUCACGGCCGGAGAGAACUUCGUCAAGUUUCUUCCAUAGUUGGGAAGCCUCAGGGUCGUGUGCUUUUCCUGGGCCAUGACUAAUCUAAAAUGUCCCUGCUGACCUGACGAAACUUCUUCCAUCAUGUCCUUGUCACAUUGGCUGUUAGGGUCCACGUUAUCUUGUCAAUGUCAGCGUUUCCGGUUAAAUCAGCGCAUGUUUAAUCCUUUUCCAAAAGUUAGGGUGAUUCACUCCUUCCUCCUGGUUAGUUGCCACGGGUGUUCCUGGAAGCUGUUUUCUACGCCAGGAUGUCUGGCAGUAACUUCCUAACCAAGUGGCUGGGGAGGACGUGUGUUCUCCACUGACCCCCAACCCAUGUUCCCACAACUCAACUUCCCCUGGGCCAGAUCCCGAGAGCGCCACCCCCAGAGCCACUCCAGCCAGAGGGGAAGUGUGACGAGGGACCUGAGAGAGUGUGGGAACUGCUGUGGUCACGUUGUCCUCAUUUAGCAAAUGUUACAAAACCUUCUGGGCAUAUGAAGGCCCUGUGUGAACCUAGGCAACUGCAUGGACCCACGGCCUCCCUGUGGUGCCUGUGUCCAUCUGUGCCCAGGACCCCACUGUCCCCACCACUCUGGCGUCAUGGCCCCUGUCUCCAUAGCAGAAGCCCCUGCGCCUGUUCAAGGUGUGGGCAGGACCACAUUCCCUCCACUCGGGCUGCUGGCCUCCAGCUGCUGGAGCCACGUUCCUGGCAUUCCUGAGCAGGGCUGCACCUUUGCUCUAAAAUCUGUGCCCAGGGGGCUUCCCUGGUGGCACAGGGGUUAAGAAUCCGCCUGCCAAUGCAGGGGACACGGGUUCGAGCCCUGGUCCGGGAAGAUCCCACGUGCUGUGGAGCAACUAAGCCCGUGCGCCACAACUACUGAGACUGUGCUGUAGAGCCCACAAGCCACAACUACUGAACCCGCGUGCCACAACUACUGAAGCCCGUGCGCCUAGAGCCCGUGCUCCGCAACAAGAGAAGCCACCUCGAUGAGAAGCCCGCGCACCGCAACAAAGGGUAGCCCCCGCUCGCCGCAACUAUAGAAAGCCCGCGCACAGCAACGAAGACCCAACGCA